AGAGAUGUGUGAUGACGCAUAUCAAUAAGCGGAGGAAAAGAAACUAACAAGGAUUCCCCUAGUAACGGCGAGUGAAGCGGGAAGAGCUCAAAUUUGAAAUCUUAAAGGGUUUCCCUUUACGAAUUGUAGUUUAAAGAAGUGUUUUCUGUUGGAGUUUCGGUAAAAGUUCUUUGGAAUAGGACAUCAUAGAGGGUGAGAAUCCCGUAUUUGACCGUUACUUUCCAGCUGUGUGAUACACUUUCAAAGAGUCGGAUUGUUUGGGAAUGCAGUCCAAAAUGGGUGGUAAAUUUCAUCUAAAGCUAAAUAUUGGCGAGAGACCGAUAGCGAACAAGUACCGUGAGGGAAAGAUGAAAAGAACUUUGAAAAGAGAGUUAAACAGUACGUGAAAUUGUCAAAAGGGAAGCGUUUGACACCAGUGUUGUUUAGUUGAAAAUCAAUUAAAUAUUUUACGAUUUUAAGUAGUAUUGACCUUAUCAGCUUGCUGCUUUUUUUCGGAAAUUAUUUAAUGCACUUUUCAGUUAACAAGUCAACAUCAAUUUCUUUUGUUGUAAAAAGGUAAGAGGAAGGUGGCUUGCGCUUCGGCUCAAGUGUUUAUAGCCUUUUACCCCUGCAAUCGGAGAGAUUGAGGUCUGCAGCGUAGAUCCUUCGGGGUUAGAUACAUUUGUGCUAAGCUAUAGCCUUGUAUAGACAACUUGUUGACUAUGCUCAGUCAUGUAGCUUACUCGCUUAUGCUAUUUUACCUACGCUUAAGAUGUUGAUAGUCACAGCGUGUAC
rnacentral:rRNA from 1 species